AGAGUACGUACACUGGGAUUCACACUAGCCAGACCUCUGGUACUUGGAAGGAUUUCUGCUGCACUCUCCCAGGCCACUUUCCAAUGCCAGCAAUAGCCACCUGAAGCUAUAUAAGGGGCGACUGGCUCUAAGGAAAAGCUGUUUGCUAGGAGCUGCAGGUGGCUGAUGACAAAGGAAACAGCAAGGGAACAGACAGUUCAAAACAAGUCUCACCAUUCCUGAACAGAACAGUGAACCCAGCUGUGUCCUUUUGAGGAAGAACCAGUUGCACACAAAGGGCCGCUCGCCAGUGUGCAAGCGCACGUGGGCCCGCAGCAAGGACGUCUUCCGGAAUGUCUUGCCGCAGUCGGGGAUGUGACACACAUGCUUCUUUUUGCCCUGCUCUCCAGACCUGAGCAUUGGGAUGAGGUUGGGACAUGUGCAGGCCAUGCGGCGCCGCUUCUCUCCAGGCUGGGUCUCUCCAGCCAGAGCCUGCUCCAUCUGCAACUGGAUCUGGGUGGGGCUUAGCCCACUGAUGGUCAGGUUAUUCCCGGA